rnacentral:rRNA from 1 species
UUGGAGGGCAAGUCUGGUGCCAGCAGCCGCGGUAAUUCCAGCUCCAAUAGCGUAUAUUAAAGUUGUUGCAGUUAAAAAGCUCGUAGUUGAAUUUCGGGAUUGACGUGACGGUCGUGCCUUAAGGGGUAUGAACUGUCGCCGUUGAUUUCUCACCUUCUGGAGAAUCUCGAUGCCCUUUAUUGGGUGUCUUGUGGAUCCAGGACCUUUACCUUGAAAAAAUUAGAGUGUUUAAAGCAGGCAUUUUUGCUCGAAUACAUUAGCAUGGAAUAAUAGAAUAGGACGGCUUGGUUCUAUUUUGUUGGUUUCUAGGAUCACCGUAAUGAUUAAUAGGGAUAGUUGGGGGCAUUAGUAUUCAAUUGUCAGAGGUGAAAUUCUUGGAUUUAUUGAAGACUAACUACUGCGAAAGCAUUUGCCAAGGAUGUUUUCAUUAAUCAAGAACGAAAGUUAGGGGAUCGAAGACGAUCAGAUACCGUCGUAGUCUUAACCAUAAACUAUGCCGACUAGGAAUCAGACGAUGUUAAUUUUUUAAUGACUCGUUUGGCACCUUAUGGGAAACCAAAG